rnacentral:rRNA from 1 species
UCCAGACUCCUACGGGAGGCAGCAGUGGGGAAUAUUGCACAAUGGGGGAAACCCUGAUGCAGCGACGCCGCGUGAGUGAAGAAGUCAUUCGUGAUGUAAAGCUCUAUCAGCAGGGAAGAAAAUGACGGUACCUGACCAAGAAGCCCCGGCUAACUACGUGCCAGCAGCCGCGGUAAUACGGAGGAUGCGAGCGUUAUCCGGAUUUAUUGGGUUUAAAGGGUGCGCAGGCGGCCUGUUAAGUCAGCGGUAAACGCCCGGGGCUCAACCCCGGCGAGCCGUUGAAACUGGCGGGCUGGAGUUGGAGAGAAGUACGCGGAAUGCGCGGUGUAGCGGUGAAAUGCAUAGAUAUCACGCAGAACUCCGAUUGCGAAGGCAGCAUACCGGCGCCCAACUGACGCUGAAGCACGAAGGCGUGGGUAUCGAACAGGAUUAGAUACCCUCGUA